GUGAAUUCGAGUCGCUUCGGCGCUCAACCCCCUCACUUUCUAACUCUGUGCACUUUGUAGCCGGCAAUGGAAACGCAUUAUAACUUAGUGCUACUACUUGCGCCUGGCCUAUUACCUUUUUAAACAUCAGUCAAUGAAUGUCAUAAUACAAAACAAAAA
rnacentral:misc_RNA from 1 species